rnacentral:lncRNA from 1 species
AGUCUCCUGCUCAAAACAGGAGCGCAGCAGCCGGAGGGAGUGGGGACAAGCUCGCUGAACACUGGGCGUCUCGACAGGGACCAGAGCCUGCAGGACUGUUCCGAGACGCUGCGGUGGCGGCGGCGCCGGAGGACGCGGAGGACUCCCUGGCCACCCGCCCUCCGUGCGCUCUGCCACCGGGCGCUCAGCAGAGACCCCGGGCUGCGGCUGCACUUGCUGAGUGCCUCUCCCCGCCGCCGCAGCCCAGAGGCGCCCAGCACCUGGAGCUCACUGGAGCUGAGGGUCCGAGCUGAGCGGGCUGUUGUAAAGCCGAAAGGCGAGUCAGUGACUGGGACCUCUGUCCUGGUGGCGACGGAGAGAAACAGUGAGCCCGAGGGGCGCGGGCACAGAACUGUCCAGCUCCGAGAACUGGGGUCCGCCAGCCGGCGGGGAAAGCAGCUGAGCGCGGAGGCGAGUGAGCGGACGCGUCCCGGGGUCUUUGCAGUCCCCGCCGGCCCCAAGGCACCGACUCUCGGUCAGUUGGGCGCGGCAGGGCGGGAGGGGCGCGCCAUGGAGGCGCCGGGUCGCGCCAGUAUGCUCCAGGCCAAGUGAAGCGGUCCGGCUGGGGUCGGCGGGACCCGCGGGCCAUGUACGGCGACAUAUUCAACGCCACGGGCGGCCCCGAGGCGGCGGUAGGCAGCGCGCUGGCCCCAGGAGCCACGGUCAAGGCAGAAGGCGCUUUGCCGCUGGAGCUGGCCACUGCGCGCGGUAUGAGGGACGGCGCGGCCACAAAGCCCGACCUGCCCACCUACCUGCUGCUCUUCUUCCUGCUGCUGCUCUCGGUGGCGCUCGUCGUCCUCUUCAUCGGUUGCCAGCUGCGCCAUUCGGCCUUCGCCGCGCUGCCCCACGACCGCUCGCUGCGCGACGCCCGCGCGCCCUGGAAGACGCGGCCGGUGUAGCUUGGGACUGAGCCACGGCCGCCGGGCGCCCCGUCCCGACCUAGCCAAGAGCAGCCAGCUUGAGCCUGGUAGGGAGGGCACGACACCGGGGAUCGCUGGCCCCUGGGAACACGGUGCCCUGACCCAAAGACCCUUCCUGAACUAGAGUGGCAACCCGAGAGGAAAGGGAGACCGAGGCGUCGGGAGCCUGUGUAGGGUCUCGAUCCCAGUACCUGUAGGUACCGUGAUUCUGAUCCCCUGGCCAAAUCUUUCUUCCUCUGGACAGAGGGUCCAGUCGGGAAACCUUCCCGAAAGACGGCGGUCGGGUCGGGAAACCUUCCUGAAAGACGGCGCGCCAGCCCGUCUUGCUUGCUCGCCGCCUGCUGACUUCCUUACUUUGCACACGGAAGGGGCAGGAACCGCAAGCGUGCAACUAGCCUGGAGCUACCCGUCUGGACUCGCAGGCCCUGUGGCUGUUUCCCACAGCUGCUACGGCCUCUCUUGCUCCUUGACACCGAGGAGGACCCCACUAGGAUCCGAGCGUCGUGAACUCACCUGAACUUUGGAAGCUUCACUUUCCAUGAGGACAAGAACAAUGAUUCCAGCCCUACUGCCCUGCCUACCAUAAAGUUGGACCUGUGUUAAUCACUCAAUUGGCAAGUUCUACAAGCAACAAUUCCAAGAAUUUGAUAACUUUGGAGCAAAAGUCCAAAAGUUCAAAGAGAAAGGAUAUGAGUGCUUUCUUAGCUGAAUUUCCCCUUCUUCUCAAUUAUACUUUAGCCAGCUCCCACAAUACCCCACCCCACAUCAAACCACUUCUCAGGCAUAAAGAGAGCUAAUAAAACAUUGAGCUAGAAGCAAUUCAACUAAGAAGUAAAUAUUACAUUAUUUAAAAGGUAAAUUCUAAUACUUAAAAAAUUCACUUCUUGCUUCAGUACUCUCAUUCAUUCAACAAAUAUUGGUAUGCUUACUUAUAACAUAUCAAGAACUGUUCUAGCAGUGGCAACACAGGUCUGUCCUCACAGAUCUUACAUUCCCAUGAGGUAAGACAGUCAAUAAACAGGGUAAAGAAAUAUAUAUGUUGGAUGGUGAUAAACGCUAUGCAGAAUGAAAGGCUUUCUUAGGUACAAAGAACUCAAGAAACACUUUAGAACCAAACCAAUUUCUCUGAGAACCCUUUCAAAAAGAGCUAGAGCUCCAUCUAUAAUCAGCAAAGUAUCUGUCAAAGAAAGCCAAGGAUCAAUGUACAGUGACUACCAGAACAGGUUAGAAGGGCACACUCAUAAACCUUUGCUACUGGUUUGGGGGUUUCAGUUUUAACUUUUCUGUUAAAAUUCUCAGCAUUUAUCUCAAAUGAAAGUAUUAUUUAAAAUGAAAUAAUGAAGGAGGUUUAUUAGAUGGGAAGGGGUAACUGAUUAAGACAAAGUAUAAGGAUCUUUUCAAAAUCCAUCUCUAAACAUCAAUAAACUGCCUCAGAAAAUCUCUCACUAGGAAUUAUACACACACCCAUUUGAUAUAAUAUGGAUAAGUCUUCACCACCAGUCUAAAUCCCUCUUCCCACCUCCCAUCCAACAUACGUUAACAUGGAGAUGGUUAAGCAAGCUGCCCAUAGCUCUUCUUUGAAUUUUCCCUAUAGCCCCAUUACCCUUUUUUUAAACAGAAAAACUGAUUUAGAUAGAAAGAACAAGUUUUGUUUUUGCAAAGCUUAUGAUAGACUUACAAACUCAAUGACAAAAAUCAGUAAUAUUUAAAAUGUUAAAUGGGAAGGGUGUUUUAAAAAUGCUUCCUUCUUUCAAUCAUAAAUACUACAGAGCUCUAAAUAAAUCUUCCUUAUAAGCAUUGCUGCAGUCUACUGACAAUCUUAAAAAUGUUUAUAAAACGAUAGCUGCAUCAAAACUGCUGUAAUACAAAAUAGUAUUAGCCACUGUCCCAACCCCUCAUCACCUGAACUGUUUUGGCUACAGCAACCUGAAAACUAAUUAUCUUAAACCCAAGAGAAGCCAACAUCCUCUUAGUGCUCACUGAACCUUCUUCCGCUAGGACAAGUGUGCUUUUUUAAAAAAUACACUUCUAAAACAACCAGUGAUGUUGCUACAAAAUACCUUACAAAAUGCCUUUUAAGUAAAAAGACAUAGGAAGGAACUGAUUCUCAGAAAUUGGUAGGAAUGUCCAAUCUUUUGGCUUCCCUAGGCCACAGUGAAGUAUAAUUAUCUUGGGCCACACAUAAAACACACUAAC